rnacentral:rRNA from 1 species
UUAACACUGAGGCGUGAUGACGAGGCACUACGGUGCUGAAGUAACAAAUGCCCUGCUUCCAGGAAAAGCCUCUAAGCUCCAGGUAACACGAAAUCGUACCCCAAACCGACACAGGUGGUCAGGUAGAGAAUACCAAGGCGCUUGAGAGAACUCGGGUGAAGGAACUAGGCAAAAUGGUGCCGUAACUUCGGGAGAAGGCACGCUGAUAUGUAGGUGAAGUCCCUCGCGGAUGGAGCUGAAAUCAGUCGAAGAUACCAGCUGGCGGCAACGGUUUAUUAAAAAAAAAACACUGUGCAAAAAAGAAAAGGGAA